CUAACCGGUCGCCACCUAAACCUAGGCGCGCCACUCUCCCUGGCAGCCGCCGUUUGUUGUCGCGAGCGCGUUCCUGCCCCGCCACAGCCGAAGCUCCCAGCGUCCUCCUGCAGGCCGAGCUGAAGGUUCAGCGCGCCGGUGGAGUUCGACGACGAAACUCCGUCACGUCAUACCUCUCCGCCUCCCGUCUUCCAGACGUCUCCAAUCAGGGCUCCCAGCGUCUCGGAGAAGAGGAGCAGCACGGCACGGCGGCUGUGGCGAGGAAGGCUCCUGUCCCAUCCCAACCCAGUUAGCAGCCGCCCAAGGAGGAGGAGAUUCAAUCGGCGUGCGGGCGUCCGCGGUCCAUCCAUCGAUCCAAUUCCAAUCUGCAGGUCUCUGCGUCACGGCUUGUUCGUGGAGGAGAGGUCGAGAAUUUACUAAGUCAACAUCUUGUUUUAGGUCAUUACUGCAUUUGGAAGACUAGGGACAAUGUUUGGAUGUGAUAUGUAUAAUAUUAAACCAGAUCUUGUUUCCAUAGCCAAGGCUCUUUCUUCUGCAUAUAUGCCAAUUGGAGCAAUUCUCGUUAGCCCAGAAAUAACGGAUGUAAUUUAUUCUCAGAGCAAUAAACUUGGGAAAGGAAUAUUGUAGAACACGUUAACAAAAUUGCUCCAAGGUUCCAGGAGGGAAUCAAGGCCUUCUCAGGCAGCCCAAUUGUUGGGGAGAUACGCGGUCUGGGACUGAUACUUGGAACUGAAUUUGUCGACAACAAAUCUCCAAAUGAUCCAUUUCCAGCUGAAUGGGGUUCAUUGUUUUAUUGAUCUCAUGUCCCCUUUUCAAACAUUUCAGAAGUAAUCCAACUUUAAGGCGGCCCAAAAUUGUUCUCUGAAGAGUUAACUUAAUGUUAUGAAUUAGCGUAGCAUGUCGAGGCAAAAUUCGUCACUAUCCCCAGAGUUAGAAGAAACCUUGCCGAGUUGAUUAAUGGUGACAGUAUAUUGAUUUUAUUACGACUGGUAACUCCAGGUGUUGGUUCGAUAUUUGGCACGGAGUGCGAGAAGCGUGGGAUGCUCAUCAGGGUGGCUGGGGACAGCAUCAUGCUGUCACCCCCGCUGAUCAUGACUCCCAAUGAAGUCGAAGAAAUCAUAAGCAAAUUCGGCGAUGCUCUAAAGGCUACAGAGGAACGGAUUGGAGAACUGAAAUCCAGGAAGAAUUAGCCGAUGCUGCUGGUUGUAACGACGGUGAGGAUGGUGAUGGCAGUGUCCAAUAUACAACAUGCAAUUGAAAAUGAUAAUUGAUCUUUUUUAUGGGCGAAGUGUUGAAGAUGGCUUUGGUGAAGGAAAUGUCUUGUUAGCAUCAAGUAAGUGGCGACAUCACAACCCCUACAAGCUUGUGCCUUAAAACAAGAGGAUACAAGAAGUUGGAGUGCUUUUGUGAAGGCUUUUGCGAAUCACUUAAAGCGUUAGUACUUUUGUGAAUGAUUUUGUAAAGUGUUUGCAAAUAUGUGCAAAACAUAAUAACAUGUGUAGGUUUUGUGAAUGAUUUUGUUGUGGUGUCUGUUGAUGGUUUAUGUAUGUGGAUCUAUCAUUGUGCAAUACUAAUUAAAUUUGUAUAUCUAUGUGAUUAUGUGUAUAAAAAUUGGUGAUUUGUGA